UACGGGGGGAGCAAGCGUUGUUCGGAUUUACUGGGCGUAAAGGGCGCGUAGGCGGCCACCGCAAGUCGACUGUGAAAUCUCCGGGCUUAACCCGGAAAGGUCAGCCGAUACUGCGGGGCUAGAGUGCAGAAGGGGCAACUGGAAUUCUCGGUGUAGCGGUGAAAUACGUAGAUAUCAGGAGGAACACCGGAGGCGAAGGCGGCCAUCUGGCGAGACAUUGACGCUGAGGCGCGAAAGCGUGGGGAGCAAACAGG
rnacentral:rRNA from 1 species